UUAAGAGACACAGGCUUGAUUCCUUUGCUGCAUUGGAUAAACCCAAACCACAUGUGGGUCCAAAAUAUAUCUCCAGCUUCCCAGCAUCAUCCCUUAAGCAUUCUUCUUAACCUGCACAGGCUCAACAGGGAAAUAUAAAGGGAAGAAAAGCACCCCACCUUGAAGUGGUAUUUUAGUCAUCUGAAAAAAAGUGGAGUCAGCUUGGGCCAACAGAAAAAGCCAAGAAUAGUUCAGAACACGGGGGAAAAGGCUACAUAGACAACACCUACUUCAGAUAUCUAUGAUCAAAUACCUUAGUUCCAAGCACCUAUCAAGUAUCGAG